GGAUGUGAGGACAAUCUGUUACCCCACUGAUUGUCUGUUGAUUUGGCUAAUCUGGCUGGCUAGGUGAGCGUCCCCUUCCUCCUUCCUCCCUCACUGUGCCAUGUGCGGCCCUCCCAAAACUGCACACUCGGUCACAGAGGACAGCCUUCCCUGAAAAGAGGAGGACCAGUCUUUCGUCAAGGAUUUUGUUGCUCUAACAAAUGAGUAGCUGC
rnacentral:snRNA from 1 species